rnacentral:lncRNA from 1 species
CUUCUCCUCUACCAGGUAUGCUCUCAUUGUGUCAGGAUUACAGAAUGAUCCAGCACGUAGAAUUGUGUAACACAGAGGACUGAUAGGUAACGUAUACCGGACCUUAGAAUGGCCGGACUAAUGUACCACAGAAUAGUCAGGAAUAGCCGAGGUCAAGGGAUACAGAAAGAGACACAAUGAUAAGGAAAAGCCAGGAGUCAGGGAUGCCAGAAAACAG